GACUUAUUUGUGCGGGGUGGCGCUGCUCUCAAAGCGGACACAUCCCCGAAAGAACCGCCGUCCGAAACCUUCAGGACUUGUUUAAAAAAUAGAACCCCUCGCGUGAGGAAAAGAUGCUUCUUCGUCUUCGUCUUCUUCUUGUGCUCCGGCGGCAGCGCAGCGAGACGAGAACACGCACGGAAGGCAGGCUGCUCACCAGUGGAAGGUGUUCCACGCACACGCGAGAGGAGAGGAGAGGUGGAGAAAGGGGGCCCCUGUUCGCGUCGCGCACGCUGGAUGGGAACAUGCAAAACUAAGCCCUCUUUCCCCGAGGACUGCACUCUUUCCCGGGAGCCAAAACUCUAAACCCACGGGAGGGGCGACGUCACCGGAUGACGCGGCGGCACGGGGCGGGGCGUUGACCAUACAUGGAGGCGUGACGCGUUAGCCCCGCCCACCCAGCCACUCUGUUUCCGAAGGAGAGGAGCAUGGCGAGAGAAGCGAGCGUCUCUCUCUCCGCUUUUAUUCCUCCACUUUUGCCUCUUCGAUGUGCCCAUAAUCUGAUUAUCAAAUUAUGCAACUUGGAGACAAAUCCUCUUACAGAUCAGAUAUACUAAGAGAGAGAGAGAGAGAGCAGCCGUCAGGAGCCAUCUGGACGUGGAGAGACAGACUGGGAGAAAGAGGGGAGUCAGCUGAGCCCUGAAUCCGCCUGAUGAGGGCUCUUUUUUUUUUUUUUUUUUUUUGCUGCAUGCGGCGGUCCUGCACGCAGAGAAAGUAGAAGAUAACUUGCAAAAAAGUGUUAAAUAUGUCAUAAGCAUGGAUUUUUACUUUGCAGUUAAUUUCCCUGAUGCAUUGGUGGGAAGUGUGACGAUAACCAUAGACUUAGACGAACGUUAUUGAUCCACAAGGGAAAUUGUUAUUUUUAUUACAUUUUUGUAGGCUUAGAUGAUCAACACAUGUAGGCAUUAUUGUACAAAAUAAUAAUUAGAAAGCAGACAUUGGUUUAAAUAAGAUUUACUACUAAAGGUUUUAUAUAAUUGCGCGUUAAUUAGUAGAAAUAGCGAGGAAAUAAAUUUGCUGGUGGCUUUUCUUGCAAA